rnacentral:rRNA from 1 species
UACGUAGGGGGCAAGCGUUGUCCGGAUUUAUUGGGCGUAAAGAGCUCGUAGGCGGUUUGGUAAGUCGGGUGUGAAAUCUCCACGCUCAACGUGGAGGGGCCACUCGAUACUGCCAUGACUCGAGUCCGGUAGAGGAGUGUGGAAUUCCCGGUGUAGCGGUGAAAUGCGCAGAUAUCAGGAGGAACACCGGUGGCGAAGGCGGGUCUCUGGGCCGAUACUGACGCUGAGGAGCGAAAGCGUGGGGAGCGAACAGG